GACGAACGCUGGCGGCGUGCUUAACACAUGCAAGUCGAGCGGUAAGGCCUUUCGGGGUACACGAGCGGCGAACGGGUGAGUAACACGUGGGUGAUCUGCCCUGCACUUCGGGAUAAGCCUGGGAAACUGGGUCUAAUACCGGAUAUGACCUCCUAUCGCAUGGUGGGUGGUGGAAAGAUUUAUCGGUGCAGGAUGGGCCCGCGGCCUAUCAGCUUGUUGGUGGGGUAAUGGCCUACCAAGGCGACGACGGGUAGCCGACCUGAGAGGGUGACCGGCCACACUGGGACUGAGACACGGCCCAGACUCCUACGGGAGGCAGCAGUGGGGAAUAUUGCACAAUGGGCGAAAGCCUGAUGCAGCGACGCCGCGUGAGGGAUGACGGCCUUCGGGUUGUAAACCUCUUUCAGCAGGGACGAAGCGCAAGUGACAGUACCUGCAGAAGAAGCACCGGCUAACUACGUG
rnacentral:rRNA from 1 species